GACGAACGCUGGCGGCGUGCUUAACACAUGCAAGUCGAACGGAAAGGCCCUGCUUUUGUGGGGUGCUCGAGUGGCGAACGGGUGAGUAACACGUGAGUAACCUGCCCUUGACUUUGGGAUAACUUCAGGAAACUGGGGCUAAUACCGGAUAGGAGCUCCUGCUGCAUGGUGGGGGUUGGAAAGUUCCGGCGGUUGGGGAUGGACUCGCGGCUUAUCAGCUUGUUGGUGGGGUAGUGGCUUACCAAGGCUUUGACGGGUAGCCGGCCUGAGAGGGUGACCGGCCACAUUGGGACUGAGAUACGGCCCAGACUCCUACGGGAGGCAGCAGUGGGGAAUAUUGCACAAUGGGCGGAAGCCUGAUGCAGCAACGCCGCGUGCGGGAUGACGGCCUUCGGGUUGUAAACCGCUUUCGCCUGUGACGAAGCGUGAGUGACGGUAAUGGGUAAAGAAGCACCGGCUAACUACGUGCCAGCAGCCGCGGUGAUACGUAGGGUGCGAGCGUUGUCCGGAUUUAUUGGGCGUAAAGGGCUCGUAGGUGGUUGAUCGCGUCGGAAGUGUAAUCUUGGGGCUUAACCCUGAGCGUGCUUUCGAUACGGGUUGACUUGAGGAAGGUAGGGGAGAAUGGAAUUCCUGGUGGAGCGGUGGAAUGCGCAGAUAUCAGGAGGAACACCAGUGGCGAAGGCGGUUCUCUGGGCCUUUCCUGACGCUGAGGAGCGAAAGCGUGGGGAGCGAACAGGCUUAGAUACCCUGGUAGUCCACGCUGUAAACGGUGGGUACUAGGUGUGGGGUCCAUUCCACGGGUUCCGUGCCGUAGCUAACGCUUUAAGUACCCCGCCUGGGGAGUACGGCCGCAAGGCUAAAACUCAAAGGAAUUGACGGGGCCCCGCACAAGCGGCGGAGCAUGCGGAUUAAUUCGAUGCAACGCGUAGAACCUUACCUGGGUUUGACAUGGAUCGGGAGUGCUCAGAGAUGGGUGUGCCUCUUUUGGGGUCGGUUCACAGGUGGUGCAUGGCUGUCGUCAGCUCGUGUCGUGAGAUGUUGGGUUAAGUCCCGCAACGAGCGCAACCCUUGUUCACUGUUGCCAGCACGUUAUGGUGGGGACUCAGUGGAGACCGCCGGGGUCAACUCGGAGGAAGGUGGGGAUGACGUCAAGUCAUCAUGCCCCUUAUGUCCAGGGCUUCACGCAUGCUACAAUGGCUGGUACAGAGAGUGGCGAGCCUGUGAGGGUGAGCGAAUCUCGGAAAGCCGGUCUCAGUUCGGAUUGGGGUCUGCAACUCGACCUCAUGAAGUCGGAGUCGCUAGUAAUCGCAGAUCAGCAACGCUGCGGUGAAUACGUUCCCGGGGCU
rnacentral:rRNA from 1 species